UGGUUCUGGCAUCGAUGAAGAACGCAGCGAAAUGCGAUAAGUAAUGCGAAUUGCAGAAUCCGUGAGUCAUCGAAUCUUUGAACGCAUAUUGCGCCCUUCGGUAUUCCGGAGGGCAUGCCUGUUCGAGCGUCAUUAUCACCUCUCAAGCCUGGCUUGCUGUUGGACUUUGGAUAUAGCUUUAACUAUAUCUAGCCCUAAAGAUAAUGACGGUGUCUGUGAGGACCCCUGUACACUGAGCUUUUAUUAGCACGUAUUAGGCGGGAGUCCAGGCCCGGUCUUACCCAUAUUUUACUAAGGUUGACCUCGGAUCAGGUAGGAAUACCCGCUGA
rnacentral:misc_RNA from 1 species